rnacentral:rRNA from 1 species
GCAGGCGCGAAACCUUUACACUGCACGACAGUGCGAUAGGGGGAUCCCAAGUGCACAGGCAUAGCGCCUGUGCUUUUCGGUACCCUAAGGCGGUACCAGAAUAAGGGCUGGGCAAGACCGGUGCCAGCCGCCGCGGUAAUACCGGCAGCCCAAGUGAUGGCCGAUCUUAUUGGGCCUAAAGCGUCCGUAGCUGGCCGUACAAGUCCAUCGGGAAAUCCACCUGCUCAACAGGUGGGCGCCCGGUAGAAACUGUGCGGCUUGGGACCGGAAGGCGCGACGGGUACGUCCGGGGUAGGAGUGAAAUCCCGUAAUCCUGGACGGACCGCCGAUGGCGAAAGCACGUCGCGAGAACGGAUCCGACAGUGAGGGACGAAAGCCAGGGUCUCGAACCGGAUUAGAUACCCGGGUAGUCCUGCCCGUAAACAAUGUCUGCUAGGUGUGGCUCCCACUACGAGUGGGUGCUGUGCCGUAGGGAAGCCGCUAAGCAGACCGCCUGGGAAGUACGUCCGCAAGGAUGAAACUUAAAGGAAUUGGCGGGGGAGCACUACAACCGGAGGAGCCUGCGGUUUAAUUGGAGUCAACGCCGG